CCCUUAGAUGUUCUGGGCCGCACGCGCGCUACACUGAUGCAUUCAACGAGCCUAUCCUUGACCGACAGGUCCGGGUAAUCUUUGAAUCUGCAUCGUGACGGGGAUAGAUUAUUGCAAUUAUUAAUCUUCAACGAGGAAUGCCUAGUAGGCGCAAGUCAUCAGCUUGCGUCGAUUACGUCCCUGCCCUUUGUACACACCGCCCGUCGCUCCUACCGAUUGGGUGUGCUGGUGAAAUGUUCGGAUCGGCCGUUUGUCGCGAUUUCCGCGUCAUGUGGCUGAGAAGUUCAUUAAACCCUCCCACCUACAGGAAGGAGAAGUCGGAACA
rnacentral:rRNA from 1 species